rnacentral:rRNA from 1 species
GUUUGAUCGGUAGCAGAGCGUUCUGUAAGUCUGUGAAGCGGAAAGGUGACUGACCGUGGAGAUAUCAGAAGUGAUUAUGCUGACAUGAGUAACGAUAAUACAGGCGAGAAACCUGUACGCCGUAAACCCAAGGUUUCCUACGUCAAGCUAAUCUGCGUAGGGUUAGUCGAAGCCUAAGCUAAAGCCGAAAGGCGUAAGUGAUGGUAAUCAGGUUAAUAUUCCUGAACCUGUUGGUAGUGACGAGUUCGAUUGGUGUAGUGUUUUAUUGAAUUAAUGCUGCUACAUGAAAAACUCCAGGAAAUAGCUCCAACAUAUAAGUUCGUACCGCAAACUGACACAGGUGGGUGGGUAGAGCAUACUAAGGCGUUUGAGUUAACUAUUCUGAAGGAACUAGACAAAUUACCUCUGUAACUUCGGGAGAAGGAGGGUCACAGUAAAAGCAAUUUUAUUGUGAUGGCACAGAAAUGGGAAUGGCGACUGUUUAUCAAAAACACAGGGCUAUGCUAACUCGUUGAGAGGAUGUAUAUGGCCUGACGCCUGCCCGGUGCUAGAAGGUUAAGUGAUGCGGUAUUAAAGCUGUUGAUCGAAGCCCUAGUAAACGGCGGCCGUAACUAUGACGGUCCUAAGGUAGCGAAAUUCCUUGUCAGGUAAGUUCUGACCCGCACGAAUGGGGUAAUGAUGUGGCAACUGUCUCAAGCUUAGACUCGGUGAAAUUGCAAAAACGGUAAAAAUGCCGUUUACACGCGGUAGGACGAAAAGACCCUAUGCAGCUUUACUCCAGCUUGUCACUGAAUUUUUAUGUCUUUUGUGUAGUAUAGGUGGGAGACUAUGAAGUCCCGAUGCUAAUCGGGAUGGAGUCGUUAGUGAAAUACCACCCUAAAUAUGUGAAAAUUCUAACCUAGGCCAUUAUCUGGUCAGGGGACAGUGAUUGGUGGGGAGUUUGACUGGGGCGGUCGCCUCCUAAAAGGUAACGGAGGUGCACAAAGGUGCGCUCAACUGGUAUAGAAAUCCAGUUUUAGAGGGUAAUGACAUGAUGCGUGCCUGACUGCAAGGCUGACAAGCCGAGCAGAGACGAAAGUCGGUCA